rnacentral:lncRNA from 1 species
AUCAUGGAAGAAGAUGGAGAAGUUUAAGCCAAAGCUUACCUUGAAGUUGGCAAGACACUGGAUGGAGAUUUCUGCUCCUCCAAAAGCUUCUAAGUGUGGGAAGGGAAUGAAAUGAGAAGGUUGCUGUUGAUAAACUGAUUUGAAAAAGUGUAGUGGCAGCUGCACUUGAGUAAUCUACGAGAUUGAUGGCAGUAGGGUGGCUGAUGUAUGGGUUAGAUGGGAUGGGGGCAGCCAUAGAGAAGAUAGUUGGACUGCACACUUGAGUGUGCUAGGGAGAAGAAUGCAGAGAUAGGGGUGGGAGCUGCUGCUCCAGCACACCCACACGUCCUUUCCCCUUUUUCUUUCUUUCUUCCUUUUGCAGUUAGUAAUUUAAAGAGAUAGGAAAUAGGAUUAGAAGGAUUUGUAAGUAAAAGUUGUAAGGUAUGAGAAUGGGAUUGUGGUGAAUAAAUGAAAUAU